UAACAAACUGAACAUAUUUGAAUAAACUCCCUCCGUAGUGAGAAGAGAAAAACACUAAAAAUCCUCUUUUCAUGAGUUCUUGGAGCGAAGAACAUUCCAAACGGUUCUGGCUCCAAUUUGAACCCCAGAUUGACUCAUUAGGAGAACCCAUGGCGGCGAGCGUACCGGCGCUCGGAGAGGACGGCUCGCACACGCUGGACGAGUCGCUCUCCAUGGGGCUGGGCAGCGGCACGCCAGCCUCCAGCUGCAGGAAGUGAGGAAAACCACAGAAGAAGAAGAACGUCAGACGAUGAGAAUGAUGCACCAACAUCGUUUUUGACACGAAUUACAGUCAUUAAAACUCGAUGCACGAGGAACAUAAACCUUUAAGUAAA